AUUGAACGCUGGCGGCAGGCUUAACACAUGCAAGUCGAGCGAGCGGCGGACGGGUGAGUAAUGUCUGGGAAACUGCCUGAUGGAGGGGGAUAACUACUGGAAACGGUAGCUAAUACCGCAUACCAUCAGAUGUGCCCAGAUGGGAUUAGCUAGUAGGUGGGGUAAUGGCUCACCUAGGCGACGAUCCCUAGCUGGUCUGCGAGGAGGACGAGCCGCCCGGGAACGCAGACGCGGUCCACAGGCCUACGAGAGGCAGCAGUGGGGAAGAGUGCACAGUGGGCGGAAGCCUGAUGCAGCGAGGCCGCGUGUGUGAAGAAGGCCUUCGGGUUGUAAAGCACUUUCAGCGAGGAGGCGUUACUCGCAGAAGAAGCACCGUCUAACUCCGUGCCAGCAGCCGCGGUAAUAC
rnacentral:rRNA from 1 species